GAUGAACGCUAGCGGCAGGCCUAAUACAUGCAAGUCGAACGGAUAUAUGUUUUUCGGAAUAUAUAUUAGUGGCGCACGGGUGAGUAACACGUACAUAACUUGCCCUCAAGCGGGGGAUAGCCUUGGGAAACUGAGAGUAAUACCCCAUAGAAUUAUUGGACGGCAUCGUUUGAUAAUUAAAACUACGGUGCUUGGGGAUAGAUGUGCGUCUGAUUAGCUAGUUGGUGAGGUAACUGCUCACCAAGGCGACGAUCAGUAGGGGGCGUGAGAGCGUGGCCCCCCACACGGGUACUGAGACACGGACCCGACUCCUACGGGAGGCAGCAGUAAGGAUAUUGGUCAAUGGAGGAACUCUGAACCAGCCAUGCCGCGUGAAGGAUGACGGCCCUCUGGGUUGUAAACUUCUUUUGGAUGGGGCGAAAAAACGGGAUUUAUCCUGGACUGACGGUACCAUCAGAAUAAGCACCGGCUAACUCCGUGCCAGCAGCCGCGG
rnacentral:rRNA from 1 species